rnacentral:rRNA from 1 species
GAUGAACGCUGGCGGCGUGCCUAAUACAUGCAAGUCGAGCGAACAGACGAGGAGCUUGCUCCUUUGACGUUAGCGGCGGACGGGUGAGUAACACGUAGGUAACCUACCUAUAAGACUGGGAUAACUUCGGGAAACCGGAGCUAAUACCGGAUAAUAUUUCGAACCGCAUGGUUCGAUAGUGAAAGAUGGCUUUGCUAUCACUUAUAGAUGGACCUGCGCCGUAUUAGCUAGUUGGUAAGGUAACGGCUUACCAAGGCAACGAUACGUAGCCGACCUGAGAGGGUGAUCGGCCCCACUGGAACUGAGACACGGUCCAGACUCCUACGGGAGGCAGCAGUAGGGAAUCUUCCGCAAUGGGCGAAAGCCUGACGGAGCAACGCCGCGUGAGUGAUGAAGGUCUUCGGAUCGUAAAACUCUGUUAUUAGGGAAGAACAAACGUGUAAGUAACUGUGCACGUCUUGACGGUACCUAAUCAGAAAGCCACGGCUAACUACGUG